rnacentral:tRNA from 1 species
CAAUCUUAGAAUUCACCCAUUGAUACAUAGCCACAGACCCACGCAUCAUAAAAUUCUUCAAAUACCUAUUAA